rnacentral:rRNA from 1 species
AUUGAACGCUGGCGGCAGGCCUAACACAUGCAAGUCGAACGGUAACAGGAAGCAGCUUGCUGCUUUGCUGACGAGUGGCGGACGGGUGAGUAAUGUCUGGGAAACUGCCUGAUGGAGGGGGAUAACUACUGGAAACGGUAGCUAAUACCGCAUAACGUCGCAAGACCAAAGAGGGGGACCUUCGGGCCUCUUGCCAUCGGAUGUGCCCAGAUGGGAUUAGCUAGUAGGUGGGGUAACGGCUCACCUAGGCGACGAUCCCUAGCUGGUCUGAGAGGAUGACCAGCCACACUGGAACUGAGACACGGUCCAGACUCCUACGGGAGGCAGCAGUGGGGAAUAUUGCACAAUGGGCGCAAGCCUGAUGCAGCUAUGCCGCGUGUAUGAAGAAGGCCUUCGGGUUGUAAAGUACUUUCAGCGGGGAGGAAGGGAGUAAAGUUAAUACCUUUGCUCAUUGACGUUACCCGCAGAAGAAGCACCGGCUAACUCCGUG